GAAUUUAAUGUUUGUGACAAAUAACAUAGCAGAGAGUUGUGUUGUGAGAAUAAACAAUCUAAUUUAAAUGAAUCAUCUCCUAUGAUCGUAUCUAGGGUUGUCUAUUGAUUAGGGAAAUAUCCAACGGUCGUACCUUGGUUAUCGACUAGUUAAGGAGAGAUUGGCUAUUAGAGGGUCUCAAUAGCUAUAACCGGUCUAUUCAUAAGUAAUAAUAAUCUAUAUUUGAAUCAAUGAUCAGUAGUAGAAUCAAGCUGAGUUAAUUCCUUCAACCAGAGCUUUCUCCAAUUUGAAUUACAACUUUCAUUUGCAUUCUUGUUAUUUUAAUUUGAUUUUUAUUAUUGUCAACAAAACCCCCAUUUUAUGUUUUACGUUUUAAAAGGAUUUAAAUAAUUACCGAUCUUUGUGGACACGACCCUGCUCAAUCACUAUACACAAUUUAUUUAGAGUAGGAAUUUAUUUUUGUUGGCUUCGACACCCAUCACAUGGUUCAUCAAAGGCUAAUUCAGUAGUAAGAGUCCAAUGAAAAGAAUCCUUCUUUAGCUUGUCAGUUAAAGGUACAAUAAUUUUACCAUAGUUGGGUACAAAUUUUUUGUAGUACCUCAUCAAACCUAAGAAUCCCCUCAAGGCUUUGGUUGUGGUAGGCUUUGGCCAUUCAAGCAUGCAUUAAUUUUUUUUUAGGAUUGACAAGUAUCCCAAAAAUAUAAAGAAUAUGGCCCAAAUUCAAUAGAAGAUUGAUCAAAUCGCACUUUGAAAGCUUGACAUAAUGUUGAUGUUGAUGUAAACACUUAAGGACAAUGGAAACAUGAUGAGCAAGCUCUUGUAAAGAAGUACUAUAAACUAUGACAUCAUCAAAGAAAACCAAGACAAACAUUCGAAGGGAAGGUAAAAAAAUUUCAUUCAUCAAAUUUUGAAAUGUUCCUGACAAAUUUGAAAGGCCAAAGCACAUCACAAGAAAUUCAUAAUGACCAUCAUGAGCGCAAAAGGCUAUUUUGGAUAUAUCUGCAAGACAGACUUGAAUCUGAUUUAAACAAGUGCCUAUUCAUUCCUUAUUGGAAAAGGUAAAAUUGAUGCAGUCAUGAUGAUCAUUUUGAAAUUCUUGUGACGUCCUUUGGUCUUUCAAAUGCACCUGCAACAUUUCAAAAUUUGAUGAAUGGAAUUUUUUAGCCUUUUCUUCAAAAGAUUGUCUUGGUUUUCUUUGAUGAUAUCCUUGUUUAUAAAUGAAAAAUUAAAAGGGUAAGAUAUGUUCACGAUCAAUUUCUUGUUUCUAGAACUGAGGUUAACGAUAAGGUCAAACGUUGACUAGCGAACUUCUCAUGUUUUUUCUUGUCAUUAAUCUUUUCAUUUUUUUCUUAAAUUUUCUCUGAUACCAGAUGUUAAGGUUCUAGGGUUUUGGUCACUAGAGUUGGUUGAGGCUAAUGGUUGGUUCAGUUCAUAACUCACAAAAGUCAAAUUUAAUUGGUGGGAUAAACUUGAAUUAAUUGAUUUACAAAAAGCCAAAUCAAAAGUCAAGGGAUAUUGCAAAAUGUUUGGAUGCUAGAAAAUUGAUUUUUUUUUUUAAGUUGAUCAGAAAAAGAAAAAUUGGUGGCUAGAAAAGAAAUGCUCCAAUACCAGAUAUUGGGGUUUUAAGGUUUUGAUUAGAGAAUUCAAGAGAAACGAGAUAAAAAAUGUAAGAACUCAGAAGAAAGAAUUAACGGUGGUUGGAAUUAAUUUUAUUAUUGCUUUGCUUGCUUCCAAAAAACAUAAUGAGAAUCAUUUAUUUAUAAUAUUUCAAUAUAAUCCUAAUUCUAAUCUAAUUACCCUAGAUCAUAAUUGUGAUAAAAUCAUCUAAUUCUAAUAAGAAAAAAGUUAAAAUAAACUAUCGGAGUCUUUAACAUAUUUUGAAUGUUUAAUGUUUAUUUAUAUUUUUUAUUAAAGCAUUCAAUCGUGACAUGCCUACUCAGCAAAGUUAGCGACACUUUAGUUUUUUCUUCUCUUAUUUUAUUUUAUUUUUUUCAUUUCCUUUCAUGUCACGUGCUUUCUAUUUUGUUCUUUUAUUUCCUUUGGCUUCACGUUUAGAAGAUAGAUGUUUCUGCAGAUGUAAAUCUAUGAUUUUUUUCCCUCUAUCCAAAACACUGUUCUAUAGGGGUUUUGGGUUUUUUACUCUAAUUUUCUAUCAAGAUAUGUUUUUCUAGCAGAUUUGUAGCUUCUAAAAGCUCCAGAUUUAAUAAUAAUAAUAAUAAUAAAAUAAAGGGUAAAAGCUUGUUUAGUCCCUAUAUUAUGAGGUUAGUGUCUAUUUAGUCCCUGUAUUUUUAAAAACACCUCAAAACGUCCCUGCUACUAAAUAUUGACACUUAUGCCAUUAUUUUUUUUAUUUUUAACUUACUUUUACAAUAUUACAUUUUUACAAUAAUGUUUCUUUUUUGGAUAUUAAUAAAAAAUUAAAUUAUCAAAUUAAACUCAAAAAUAAAAUAAAAACAAAAAAGGUAUAUAUUAAUUUUUGUGGAAGCUCACGUAUGUCUAAAAAAUUAAUAUCGUAAAAAAUUACAUUAUCAAUUUUUUAGAAAAAUUAAUAUUUUAACUCAAGAGUGUGUUUCACAAAAAUUAAUAUAUAUUUUUUAUUUUAUUUUAUUUUUUGGUGUUAAACUGGUAAUUUAUUUUUUUCUUUUUAAUAAUGUCUAAAAAAAUUAUUAUAAUAGGGUUAUUUUUUUCUUUUUAAUAAUGUCUAAAAAAUUAUUAUAAUAGGGCAAUAUUAUAAAAAUAAGUUAAAAUGAACAAAAGAUAAUGGCAAAAGUGUCAAUAAUUUAAUGAUAGAGAUGGUUUGAGGUAUUUUUAAAAAUAUAGGGACUAAACGGGCACUAACUUCAAAAUAUAGGGACUAAACGAGCUUUUACCCUAAAAUAAAAUACAAAGUAUAAGUCAUCUAUCAAUAUUUACACAGCGUUGCCAUGUUGCAAUCAUGCUCGUCUGAGUUUGUUGUGCACGAUGUCAUGUAAUGAAAGGCAUAAACAAAUGAACAUAAUGAUGCAGAUUAGAUAAGCGUAUAAGAGAACAUAAAACUGAGUUAUUAAUUCAUUAGUCCAUAAUUUUAGUGAUGAUGCAUUCUAUGAUCUCAAUCAACAUUUGCAAGAGUGAAGGUAUAUUCUAAGUUAUGCUCUCCUCCUAAUUUAUGGAAUUAUAUAUGUAUUGAUUAGGGAUGGUAAAAUUAUCCAUGAAACUCAUUGCAUGUUGGUAAUUUUACGGAUUAUGGGCGAAUUUGAUAUUUCAAACCUAAACUCAUUGCAUGUUGCGGUUGAGUUUAGUAUUGAGAAAAAAAAUUCACCGAAUAUUUGCGCAGGUAUUCAUCAACCCACAUUUUUAAAAAUUAUUUAUGUUUUUAAUUUUAAUCAAAUUACAUUAAAAAAAUUAAAUCAUAAAUAUAUAUAAGUAAAGUUCCUAAUUCCUAAACCCAACCUCUAUAUAUACACACACACACACAAACACACACAAAAUUAAUCAAACUAAAAUAAAAUAUCAAUAAUAUUAAACUUGAAAAUUAAAAAAUUUCUAUGUAGAAAUUUUAUUUGUUUAAUUUGAAUUUGAAUUGGUUUCUAAAUUUGAAUUUAAUGAUUGGUUUCUAAAUUUGAAUUUUUAUUUCUUUAAUUAAUUAUUAACAGUAGUUGUACAAAAUUUAUUUUUUAAUAUUUUUUUAAAUUUAUUUUUUAAUAUACUUAAAUAUUAAUUAAAAGAUGAAGUAAGGCAUUGACGUAGGGAUGAUGAUUUUGCCUACAACGGAAAUAUUUUGAAUUUGAUUGAUAUAUUUUGUGUACUUAUUGUAAUGUUAAAAUUUUAAUUUCCUAUUUACAUGAAUAAAAUCUAGAAUUGAGUGUUUUAUGAACAUAUUUUAGGUUAUUGUUAUAAAUUUAAAAUUUGAAUUAUAUAAUUUAAAUUUAUAUUUAUUAUUAAAAAUUUUUGUUUGUGAUUUUAUGUGGGACUUGCAAAAACAUUCACCAAGGGGAUUUAGUAAUUGUUAAAUUCUGCGGCAGGCAAUUUUUUUUAAUAAAAAUAAGAACCCACAAUAAAUUACAGACGAAUUUAAAUUUAAAUUUUUUAUGAGUGAAAUUUUGAUAAUGACAAAUCCCUGUUCUGAUCUAGUUUUUAAUGAACUCCUAUGUAUACGGACAUUUUCAAAUGAAAUUAAAAAAAAGGAAAAAACUGAAUAUUUUAAAUUCAUGCCUCCUUUGGAACCAAACACCCCUUACGUUUAGGUUUUCUAAUUAGAUAGUUUCAGUGACCAAUCCGUUCAGUUUUCAAGAUUUAAGGAAAAAAUGUCAAGACAUGAAAAAAAUGCAUCAACGAACACAAGUUAAAGAGAAAUUUUCAAAAAUAUAUAAAAAUACUAUUGACAUGUGUAUAUUUAUUUUAAAAAAUUACCACACAACUAAUGAUUAUGUUAAAUUUAAUUACAUAUAUUAUAAAUACAUGCUCGUUGCGUUCUCUCUAAAAUAUUCUUAAAUUCCUUCAGUUGAAGAGGACCAAACAAUCAACUACCAAGAAAAUAUAGAUAACAUUACAUAAAUGAAGUCUUGCUUGAAACAUUCACAUAAGGAAAUUCUCUGACAUACAUGAACUAAAGACGCCCCCUAAAAAUAUCAAGACUUGCCUUCCCAAGCCAACAAAAGAAAAGGAAAGGACGGAUUCUCCAAACCAUUAUCAUAUCCAUAAUACACCAUUUUAAAUUUCAAUUUUUUUAAAAAAAUUAUAUAUUAAAAAAAAACAAAUAACCACCCAAAACUGCAAACCCCCCCUCCCCAUCCUUUCCAAUCUAAUACAAGUCCUAAGCCACACAACAUAUACUAGGCUAUGCCAAUCCAAACCAAAAUCUACUGCUGCUUGCAUUCUGGAGGCCUUUCACCCUGCUGAGCAUCCCCAGCUUGUUGUCUUCCACUCUUCUACAAUACAGAACACAUAUAAUCAAGAGAUAAGACCACAAGUUUGAUUUGAAAGUAAAUGAAAUCAAUGAAGUAAUUAAACUAGGCAUUAUACCUUGCUCCCAGCUGAUGACUGGAGAGACAUUUCAAGCCAAAAUCAAAAAAUAUAUAUAUAGUUAGUAAUUGACCUCAUUUCAAUGGGAAUUUGACCGAUCAAAAGGACUACAAUAACAUACCUUCUUUUUGGUCUUGCCUUCAUCAUCCUCCUCAUCCUCCUCGUCAUCUUCAUCCUCAUCUUCGUCAUCAUCUCCCUCGUCGUCUUCAUCCUCAUCAAUAUCAUCAUCAUCUUCAUCAUCAUCCAACUCAAUCUCUUCCUCCUGAAUAGCUUCCCCAGUAAACCAUGAAACAGCAUGGGGGAUAAUCUUGUCUCUAAUUGUUGAUCUACACAAAGCAAUAGAACUAGGCAAUCAAUUACAAAUGCACUACAGCAAUUCAAUUUAAAAGAUGAGACAUGUAAGAGCAACAUCAAGAGUACCCACCCAAUAUCGUAAUCUUGUUCCAUUUGAUUUUGAAGCUCCUCAGCCUGUUAAAGAAACAGAAAUAAUGUGAAACAGAGAAUAAAACAAAUGAUUAUCAUCAAUUAAUGCUACAAAUGCCAUGAUAUCAAUCUUACAGUAUCUUCAUCAAUGUCUUCAUCAUCUUCAGGGACUUGAGGUGGAUUGAAAAAGUUGAAAAAACUUUCACAUUCUUCAGUUUUAGUAAUUGGCUUAGCAUUCUUUGAUCCCUUCUUUGGCUUCUUCUUAAGGAGCUUCUGUGUCAAGCAUUUCCCUGGAUACCAUUCAAUCUCCGUCCUACAAAACAUCAGCCGCAAGAAAAAUUUAGAUCAUGCAAAGUAUAGUGAUAUGUAUCUCAACAUAAGUGCAAGGAAAGAAACACAAGUUACCCUAUAGCUUUCUCAAGAAUAGGCUCAUCUUCAUCAAUCAUGUGAUAGGUCUUUGUCAAGACAGUGUUCUUGAAGUAUGGAUUGGGGUCAAAGUAGAAUUCAAGCUUGAAUCCCUUUGGAUCAUCAAUCCUAAACCACUUAAUGUCUUUGAGAAACUUGAGAGCUCCUUCAUCGCGCUCAGUAAUCUAAUUUCAACAAAACAAGGAAAAUAUUUUAAGAACUCAAAUACCAUGGUAGUACCAAAUCAAACUAAAAUAGCCUUAAACUUACUUCCUCAGAUAGGACAUCAUUAUUUUUCAUUGCAGUAAGCCAGAAGUCCGGCACUCCUUUCUCUGCAUUAUGCAUAUAAAAAAUCAAACACAAAUCCACAACAGCCUUAGAGAAAGGUCCUAACUCCUAUGUUGAUAUUCAAAGGGUACCUUCAGUGGCUUUAUCCUCUUCCUGGUCCAUUGCAACUUCAUUUGGGGCCCCUUCAACAACACCAUUGACAAUCUCAUAUCUCUGCAAAUAAAAUUACAUGAAUCAAUCUUCAAAAUAAUUAGGGAAAAAACAAAAAUGUGAAAACCCAAAGCACAACAAUGCCCUCACACAGGAAUAGUUAUGGCACCAUUUCAGAUACCUAGCACCAAGAGCAAAGGAUAACCUCUAUGUGGGAUAAACAAGAAGAAACCCAAACAAUUGUUGGUAAAGAGCAAAAGAGCUACGUUUCCCUUUUCCAAGCCUUUUUUAAAAAAAAAACCUUCAAAGAUCCCAUAAAAAGAAACUCUCCCAUUGUUGCAUGGGCUGGAACAUCCUUAAUUACCAAGGAAAUCUAUUCACCUUUCUAUGCAAAUGCAGACAUAUUCAUUAGAGAAGAUGGUAUGAUACCUUGGUGUACAUAGGCUGAUACAAUUUUUGAUAUUUGGCUUCCAGUGCUGCUCUCUCCUCAAAAAAUUUUGCCUCCAAUUCAUCAUGUUCACUCUGCAAAUCAUAAAAGAAUUGUUAACCGCAUGCUUCCUUGUCAAGGUUUUGUGCAAAUUAGAAAAAGUAAUAAACCAUGAAGAGCAAAAUACACCCAGAUACAUACAAGAAAACAAAAGUUGAAGUUCACAGCAUAAUAAAUGGAAUAUAAGGCACUGGACAGAUGCACUACAAUUAAUUACAGCAAUGGAAUUAAGGCACUGGGCAGUGCCAAGUCAAGAAAUAUCAGAACAUAUAAAGCAAGCCAUUAGCGGGAACUGCCAGCCAUACUCAAGAGUUUUCUGUUUUAAGAUACCCGUUGUAAACAAGAUAAUUAUAAACCAUUUUCUACCGUCUCCAGUGAGCAGGAAAAUCCCCAAGAUCAGCAAGCCAAAGUUUAGCAUUUGCAAACAGAACAUAUAACAAAAAAAGAAUUUUCAACAAUGGUCCUCAGUUGGCACUAUUUAGAACUCAAAAUACUAAAAACUUGCACCGGAAUUUAUCAUGACAAUAACACACAUAAUGAACAUCAAAAUACGUGCCUGGAUCUCUCUGAGAACCUCAACACGCUUCCUGACUGCUGGAGUCAGUUUCUCGAGAACAUCAGAGUGCUGCCCAGCAAGGUUCUGAAGUUUAUUCUGCACAACAAAAAAUGAUUCUUCCAUUAAACAAUCAAAAAACCAAAACAUCUAUACAGUAACACAAAUUGCUUACCUUCAGAACACCCACGAGGUCAGCUCGAGCCCCUUCAUCAAGAGCUACACAGAGAACAAACAAAACAACGUGUCAGAUAGUAAAUAAAAAUUGGAUAAAUUACUAAAAUAAUUAGGGUUUUCUUGGAGAUAAGAAGUCACAGGCGCGGAGAUCUGUAACGUUGAAGUUAUCUUUGUCGGCGCUCAUUGUCGGCGGAGGAAGAAGCGACGGCGUUUUAGAGAGAGCGAGGGGAUAGGGUGCUAAAACCCUAGGCGAACAAAAAGGAAUUGGUGAAAAACAAGGGAAACGAGUUUCGACUUUGAUGAGUUAAGAGAGGCGUCAGAAGAAAACGUGGCCUCGCUUAAAUCCUCUCCCUCGCCCUAAAAACCUAACACUUGCUCUCUUUUAGUACUUAAGGCGGUACCUGUUCUGUCUUUUUACUAUUUUUUUAUUAAAUUUUUUUCCAGGGCCGUGUUCCUGUUGUAAUUUUUUUCGUGAGCUUGGGAUUUAAACUGUUUUUUUUUUUUAAAAAAAAAAAUUUACUAAACACCAAUUAUUAUUUAAAGUUUUACAAUAGUUCAUAGGAGGAUCUUAACAAUCAGUUUUAAACAAAAUUGUAGCAUAAAUGAAAAAUCAAAGAUGGAAAAAAAAAUUCAAAUAUAAAGGCUCAACUCAAAUGGACUGAAUUACAUACAUAAGGUAAUAUUUUUUUAUAUGUUUGCUGUAGUACCAAAUUGGCCUAAAUUGUGUCUGAUAAAAAUAUUUGACUUUGGAAAAUAUAAUACAGAAAUAAGCUAAUAAAGAUUACUUAAUUUGAAAAACCCUAAGAUAAUAUAUGGAAAGUCUAAAAGUACUCUUUAAAAAAAUAAUUUAAAUUAACUAGGGGAACAUUGUUCACACGUAUUUGAGUUAUCGAAUUUGGGAAAACCCACAAUCAUUUUUUUUAUGUCACAGUAAAUAAAAGAAUAAAAAAUAAUCAUAUCUUGCUAUAAUAAAAGCAAGCGUUUCUUGCAUAAGUUAAUAUUACAAUGAUAGUGAUAUACACAAAGGGUGCGUUUGACAUUCUGUAUUACAUUAUAUUAAUGUAGGUUACUGUAUUAUAUUAUAUUGCAUUAGUACUAUAUCAUAACAAUAUUAUACAACAUUUGAUGUUACAUUAUAUUGUAUCAAUUUUUAAUUAUAUUAAAUUUGGUGUUGUAUUGUACUGUGCUAAUUUUUUUGAUGAUUAAUUUAAGUUAUAUAUUUAGAAAAUAAUAGUACUUAUAAAAUACUAAAUAUAAAAGUCUUAAAUUUUAGAAAGUUACCAUCAUUUUUUUAGUAUAAAUGUUGAAAGAAUUCAUAAUUUCGCAUAAAGAUUGAAGCUUAUGACCUUAAAUUUUUUACAGUAAAACAUUUUUUUUCCAGCAAUUUCUAAAUAUAUAACCUAUGAAAUAAAGAUCAAAACAAAUAGUUCAAUCAAACAACCUCUAAAUAAUAUCAUAAAAUAAAUAAAUAGUUAAAACAUACAAGAUUAGUUCAAAAGUCAUCUUUGGAUGAUUGAAUAAAAGUUUAUAUAUAUUACAAGUUAAUCACAAAAUAAUAAAGUGAUACAAUAGUUGUAACAUAAUUACCAACAAAGUAGAUUGUAUUAAAUAAUCCAAGUACACACACCCGUAUGCCAAUUGGAAAUUAGUAUUUUGAAAUACCAACAAAACUCCAACAAGUAUUACUGUAUAAUAUCGUUGUUAAGUUAGAAAUUCAUACUCCCUUAUCAAACUUCACCUUAGAAAUACAUACUCCCUUAUCAAACACCACCUCUCCUUUCAUGCUCAUGCAAAAGCAUCCAAACAUCUGUCAACUUAUGGUCACGAUCAUUUCAUUAUGCCUUGAAAGCCCUUAUAUUUGAAGGUUUCUUUACCAUUAAAUGUAAGGCCAUAAGCUCAUCAUCCAUAGACAGUCCCAUUGAAGUAAUCUCUUCGACAAUGUAAUUAUGAUCUUCACUAUUUCCAUACAUAUUCUGAGACAUAUUAGUGUUGGCUUGGUGAAAUGCUGAAACUAAUUUGUUAAUACUAACAACAAUAUAAUCAUCUAAUUUAGGCUUCGUCCUAUGUGAUGGUUGUACAUGUGAUCAAGUAAUGUAUUGAGAAUUUGAAGGAGGGGUAGCAGACAUCAGAGAACCUUUAUCAUCAAUCGCAUUGUCAUCAUCAUGAGUUUCUUCUUGAAGAGCUGCAUUAACCAUAUCAAUUGGAGUUUUUGCUGGACUUCUAGUUACGUGGACUUUUCCAAAUAUAUUUACUAGCCUCUCAUAAUAUGGAAAUGACUUGUUCCUCUAAUUGCUUGUUUAUUUAUGGGACUACAUUAUUAAAACAAGAUAAUUAAAUGAACUCUAUUAUAUUUAUAAGAAACAAAUUAUAUAUAACCAUGCAACCAUGAAGAUAUAACUAAUGACAUAAAAAGAAAAUUAUUUUCCUUAUUUUAAAUUCAAAAUACUAACCUCUACAUAUGAUUUCCAUACUUUUUCACUAUCAAUCUCCACACAUUUUCUCACAUGAUUCCAUCUAAAACUGCUAGUAUUCAACAUAUUAAAUCGCAGCCCAUACUUCCAUAUCCUUAUCUUAGAGCCAAUAUGCAGGGAAGCCUACAAACCACAUUUUAGUAGUAGUUUUUUAAAUUCAUUUUGAAUAUAUUUGUCACUUCUAGAUUUUAAGGUACCAUUAUCAGCUCGAGUACCAUUUGCAAUUACUGCAUCUAGAAUGUUUAACAUUGUUUCUUCUUCAUCUUUUGUCCAUGCUCAUCUUAAGCUUGUUUUAUUUCCAGUAGUAUGACUUAAACUUUCACUCUCCAUUCCUACAAAAUGAAUAUUAUAAUAAUUUCUUAAACAAUUAAUUGAAAUAUUACACUAAGUUAAGCUAACAUAAAUAACACUUGAUAAAUUCCUAAUGAGAUUUAUAUAUUAACAAAAGGUUAUAACCUUAGAUACCUUUGUAAGGACAUCAUUAUAUUAGCAAAAGUACAACUUUAGAUACGUUCCUAAGUUUAUCGAUAUAAUAGGAAAAGUACAAUCUUAGAUACAUCCUUAAGGACAACGAUAUAUUAUGAAAAAUACAACCUUAAGACACAUUGUUGAGGACAUCGAUAUAUUAGGAAAAAUACAACCUUAGACACAUUCUUGAGGACAUCGAUAUAUUAGGAAAAAUAUAGCCUUAAAUACUUUCCUAUUGACAUCCAUAUAUAAACAAAAGUAUAACCUUAGAUACUUUCCUAAUGACAUCUAUAUAUUAAUAAAAGUAUAGCCUUAGAUAAAUCCUAAUUUCCAAGCCUAUUGUUAUACAAAGCGGUAUCUAAAUUAUUCCUCCAACUCGUCCAUUGAUCUGAACCUGUAAGACUACUUUAUGUUAUUAAUACUAUCUACUUCAUUAUUAGAUAUGUUAAGUAAUUUAUGCUCCAUUAGAUCCACAUACAUUUCCCCUAUGAUUAGAUUAUGUAGUAAACAACAUGCAGUAAUAAUGUGACAUUGGUUUUCAUUAGAUAAAAUGAACUUUGAAGAAUAGGCUAUCACAUUUGAGCAAUCCAAAUCACUACUUAGUUACAUUUCUUACUAAAGAAUGUUUCAUGUUAAAGAACUAUUCUGUUAACAUAAAUAUUUCUUUAUUGAUUUUGAUGAUAACAAACUUGAUUAAGAUUUAUUAAUCAUUUAAAAGUUCAAAAUAGUUUUUAUAUAUUUAAAUAAUCAUUCUCAUUUUAUAAAGGCGUUAUAUUCUAUGAAAAUGUUUUUGGUUAUUCUCAUGUUAAUGGUUUCAAAUUGAAAAAGCUUUGAGAUUUUUUAUGAUAACAAGUAUUGCUUAAAAUCCUGAAAAUGGACUUAAUUGACAAGUUUUAUAAAGUUUUUGGCCAUAGUAUAAAUUUAUAAAGUUUUGGGGUCAAACGAGAAUUUUGUAAAAAAAGUACACUGUAGCAGUUACUGUAGAAAACGACGAUCCGAAAUCUUGAUAAUGGCUCACCGACAUCGAACAGAAUUGAAGAUUAGUUUCUGGACAGUAAUGGCAAACCGACAUCUUGAUAACGGCUCGCCGACAUCGAACAGAAUUGAAGAUUAGUCUCUGGACACUAACGACGAUCCGACAUCUAGAUAACGGUGAUCCGACAAUUUAAAAAUUCAGUCCAACGGUCAUAUUGACUAGUCAAAUGGCGAUCCGACAUCUAGUUAACGGCGAUCUGACAAUGUGCAGAAAGUCAAUAACGGCUAGUUUUCAGCUCCAACUAUAAAUAAGCUCAUUCAAAUUCAAACAAGAUUGUUCACAACACGACUAUUGAGCUUAUAUUUGAGAAUACAAUCUUCAUAGAGCUUUAAAAACACAUUCUUACUUCAUCUAUUCAUAUAUUGGGCCUUGAUUUGUAAUCUUAAAUAUUGUGUGAGAGAAAAAUAAUUUUUAUUCUUUUACUUUGAGUGAUUGUAAGUGUUGGGAUAUACUUCUGUUAAGAGAUUGGGGAUAAUCUCUUGUUGUAAAGGUUCAUUGAAACCUUGGAAGUCAAGUGUAAGCAUUUGAAGUCUUGGAGGCUUGCUUAGUGAAAUCUUCAAGCUUGGAAAGCUUGGAGGCGUGGACGUAGGCGAGGUUGGCCAAACCAUGUAAAAAUCUUCGAGUUUGAAUCUCUCUUCCCUUAUCUUUUUAUAUUGUAAUUGAUUUAAUUGUUAUUCCAUUAAAUUCAUUUUAGAUUUGCAUGAUAAUUUGUUUUAGAAUCAAAUAAUUUUUAGAAUCCCAAUUCACCCCCCUCAUGGGUUGCAUACUUGUAUUUCAUAUUCUUUAUUCGAAGGAGGACACCUAUCUUUCUAUUCUGAUAAAGGGAAAUUAUCAUUCAUAUACCCUAUAUUUGCUCUGUUAUAAAAAAUACUACAACACUUUGAGGGUGUAUCAAUCGUCCACCAUUAGUUGACAAAAUAUAUCAGCCGACCACCAAACCGUUAGUUGCCGUUUGAAAGUUAAUGGAGUUACAGUGAAUUGACGAUUUUACCCUUGAAAAUUAUCACUUGUAUACCCUUAAAUUCUCUUUUUAUCACUUGUAUACCCUUAAAUUAUCACUUAUAUCAUAUGAAAAGACCAAAUUACCCUUUUGACGUUAUCAUACUUAAACGGCAACUAACGGUUUGGUGGUCAGCUGAUACAUUUUGUCAACUUAAGGUGGGCGAUUGAUACACUCUCGAAGUGUUGUAAUAUUUUUGAUAAUAAAGUAAACUAAGGGUAUACAAAUGAUAAUUUCCCUUUGAUAAAUGAUAUCUUGUUCCCUUAUACAUUGUAAGAAAUCCUUUAGCAUUUGUGUAUUCUUCAUCCGCAAGAUAGUAGUAACCUAUUUAUUUCACAUAAGUAUUAGUAUAAUUUUUAGUUUGAAUAUGCAAUUUGAUUAAAUUAAAUUUUUGGAAUAAGUAAUACCUAUAUGAACUUUUAAAUCAGUGACUUAUUUAAUGCAUCGAAAGUAUUCUUAAGUAAGAUGCAGAGCUUUCUCAUCCAGACAUCACGAAGAUGAAUUUCAAUUCUCGUGUGCACAUACCCCUAAAACAUUUGUAGCAAUCUCAUCAUUGUAUGAUAUCUUGGCUUGUCUUUUUCUGGCACAUGAACUUUAAUGUAAAUUUCACCUAAUGCCCAAACAAUUCUACAUCAUAAAGCGAAUGAAAAAUUUAUUAACAUUAAACUAUUAGUUAUAGUCAAAGAUAAUGUACUGUAAACCACUUCCCCUCUCAUCAGUGCAAUUCUCUGGUAUAGGUUGCCCUUAAUCAUCUAAUCAUAAUAUUUCAUUUAUCAUUGCAUUGAAGUAUUUACUAACAAUCUUUCAGAUCCGAAAAAACCUACUACAAUUGUGCGAUUCUUGAUAUGAUAAGACAAAGUAUAAAGGAAUUGCAAAUUUGCUCUUCAAUCGUCACUAAACCAUUAGCCUUUAAUCCCCUAUUCAAUCGAAGUAGCUUAGAUAGUAGGCUAAAUAUCCUUCCAUCCAUUCCUAAUUGAUUCACGCAUUGCAUGUCACUAUUGCCAAUAACGCUUUAUAAGUAUUAUAAUCAAGUGCCAUGGUUUUGGAAUAUACAAUUAUGCAUCAUUUUUCUUUGAUUAUGCUUUCAAAUCAACAUCAUUAACCAAUAUAUAUAUAUAUAUAUAUAUAUACACACAUUAACUCAAUUUCAUUUGCCACAUGACCCCAAAAAAAAAAAGAAAAUCAACUAGUAGCCCAUUGAUAAAUUUUCAUAAAAUUAAAUGAUAGCACACUUCUUUUUGCUUUGUUAAAUAUUUUUUUAUCAUUAUUAUAAAAAUGUAAACUAAGUUGAACAAAAUCAAAUUUCAAUUUUGAUGCAAAGUUUAACCAAACAAAUAAACGAAAAAAAUAAAAGAAAAGAACAUGGUCGAAAAUGCAGAUUGGGGAUUGAUUCAAGCUUAAUUUAUCAAGCAUUUAACUUAUUUUCUUCUUCUCAUAGUCUCAAUAAGCCCUUGAAGCACGAGCUUUGACUCAAUUUGUUUUGUAAUUAAACUACAUCAACCAUGCAAAAAGUAUUAAUAUAUAGGUCAUAAAUAUUACAAUAAAUGACCAAAAUAAGAGUUCAAAACCCAAAAUUUCUAAUCUAUUAGUAAAAAAGAUUCUAAGUAUCAAAUGCAGGUAAUCAAUUAAUAAUAAUUGAAAAUCUCCGUAAAAAACACCUUUUUCUUGAGGCACUUUUACCAGAAUUGGCAUACCCAAAAUAUUAUUUUAAUAAUAAAAUUCUCUUAAUUGAAAUAAGAGAAACAAAAUAAAUGGCAGCUAUAUUCCACUUCUAAAAAAAAUAAAAAAUUCUGAAAGUAAUAGUAAAAUUAGUAAAAAUAUCUUAAAAUCACAAAAACAACCAAGAAAGUUUUUGGCUCAAAUAUGAGGCAAAAUGGCUAAAGCAUUUUUAGUUCUCGUUUGUCUUAUUGCAAGCCUCAAAAUGGCAUGUUACAUGGCCCAAAGGACACCUAUAGCUCGAGUUAUGACCUUGAGAAAGUACCCUCCUAAUCCUAUACACUCAUUUUACAUCAAUAACUACGUUGAGCAAUUUGAGUACCUUUUUCAUCAUUUCUCUAUCUUUACUCAAUUAAGGUUUAAUUAAUGAAAUGCCCCAUAUUGAUUUUUAAAAUCUAAUUCAAGUUAUGGUUCAAAUAUAUUUAUUGGGAACAAUCAGUAAUAUUAUGUGGCCUUUGUAAAAGGCUAAACAAGCCUACACCUCUAUAUAUCUUUACUAGACAUUAGGAAUAUAUCCGAAACAUAAGCCUUCCCAAUCAAACCAGGGUAUUGCCUUUUCAAUAGUCUUUGAUUAAUAUAAUUCCUUAAGCAUCAUAUAACAAGACUGGUAAAAAUUUAACCUAUAUAACACAUUAUGCCUAAAGUAAUUAACUUUCACACAUCCUCUUUAUAAAGUAGAUACUUGAUCAAAACAAAAUCACAAAGAGGAAAAUAUAACCAUGCAUAUGAUUUACACGUAUAUAAAUAUGCUUGACAUUAGUUUCUGUAUUGACAUGGGUAAAAACCAAGGCAAUAAAUUAAGAAAAUGACAUAUGAAUCAUAUUUCUAGGUAGGUGUUAUAGCAUUUUAUCAACAUGGAGCUUUAUAAAAUGAAUGAAAAGGUUGUACUUUUUUAUAUCUCCAUUAAAAGAUCAUUUUCAAAUCUAUUGAUGUAAAAAAUGAAAUGAACUAAAAAUAUUACUACUUCAAAAUAAAAGCAUAGGUCAACCAAGAAACCGAAGAGUACAUUCAUUCAAUUUUUUGUCAAGCUCAUUAUAGAGGACUAGAAAUGUUAUUCUCUUCUAUAAGACCAAACAAUGUACCUAGCAAGCAUAUGAAAACAACAUUUUGCAGACUAGAGCUAUACACAUAUGCCUUGACUGUGAAUACAUUUAUUUCUUAUAGAAACCUUCUUAUGAACUGGCAAGUGCCUCUUCUUUAUCAUACUUAAAUUAGUUUAAAUUGAAACAAGUCAUAACUUAGUCCUACUUAGAACUAAUUCUAAAUUUGAAAGAAUUUAAGGAAAGAACUAACAAUAUUCACCAUGCAUAUUGCAUUUAUGUUUUUGUUUGAUGAAUAAACAAGAUUCCAACUUCGACAGUUUACCUCCAGCUAAGCUUCAAUAAAGCACAAUCAUGUGACUGCUCUGAGUGCACUUGCAACCCUAAUAAGGGAGAAUCAAUGAACCACUCUUCAACAACAUAACUAGUUUCUAUCUUUAGAACAUGAAGAGACCAUUUAUGACUCUUUCUAUGAUCAACAUUCAAAUAAUUAUCAACUCUCCAAAGUAUUAAAAAACUUUCCAAUUAUGCAAUGAAGCAAAGAAAAAUCAUAACAUAUCCAUAAAAAAAGCAACCAACUUUCCAUUUUCAGCUAGUUUACAUGAAUCCAAGCUAAUAAUCACUAAAUCUGGAUUAUCUUUAAACCUAAAUAAUGAAUCAACCAAUGUUAAAAUCUCAAAUUUUUUUAAGAGAUAAAAAAUUAAACUUUAAAUGCUCAAUUACAUUUGCCAUGAAUUUUUGUUAGAUAGAUUAUAAUAGAGAAACAUAAUUAAGUUGGAAGUACACAAAAUACCUAAUUUAGAAAUCAAACUAAAUUCAAAAUCAAACCUUAGGUGGUAAAGAUAGGCACAACAAUAGGGUUGCACAGUGGAGUGGUAGUAAAGUUAGUGUCGCAUGAUGAGGUGGUAUUGAAGCUGGUGUUGCGCAGUGGGUAGGUGUCACACGAUACGGUGGUAGUGGAAUUGGUGUCAUACGGCGAAAGAAGAUGGUGUGGUGGUGGAGCGUCGUGGAGUUGGCGUUUGUUGAGCCACUGCACGAAGAGAACAACAAGGAGAACUUGUUGAGUCACAACAUAAAUAUGAGAAUGAUAGUGAGAAUGAAAGUGAAUUUUUAUUUUAUGUCUCAACUAAUUACAAACCUGUAUAAACCUAAACCUCCACAAGUUCAACUAAUUACAAACCUGUAUAAACCUAAACCUCCGCAAGUUUACUUUAUGCGGGUUUGACCACAUUAAAAUUUUGGUAAGACCACAUUAAAAUACUAUGUAUUGUAAUUACCAAACAUGGUAUUAUAACAUUAUAAUACUAUAAGGGGCUCCAAUACCAUAUACUAAGGAGUACAAACAUGCCUUAAAAGUUCAUUUGGUACUCCCCACUAUAUGAUAUUAAAGCCCCUCAUAGUAUUAAAGUAUUACAACAAAAUGAUUGGCAAUUAUAACACAUCGUAUUAGCUAAUAUUUUAAUGUGAUAGAACUUACAUAAACUAAACCUGGUGUGAAGGGCAGAGGAUUUAUGCAAGUUUGUAUUAAUUUUGGGAGAAAAUUAAAAGCCCCUCUCACUUUCCUUCUUUUCGUGUAGUGGCUCAACAAAUGCAUAAUGUUGACUUUUGUUCUCAACUCCACAACACUCCACCGCUAUGCCAUUUUAUUUCGUUGCUUGAUAGGUAACUCCACCACCACCCCACCACACAACACCCACUAUCUUCCUUGCCCUUCAUCACUUACAUCAUUGAGUUGUAGGUUUGAUUUAUGGAUUAGGGUUUGAUUUUUGAAUUUUUUUUAGAAUCAAUUUUAUUAAUGAUUGAAUUGAUUUUUGAAUUAUGGUUUAAUUUUUUUAUAUUCAAUUUUUGUCUAAUCAAUGCGCUAUUGAUUAGUUUUUGUUAUUUCAUAUGGUGAGUUUAAAGUUAAGUGCUUGAGGAUUGAGUUUAGGUUGAUGUUCAAAUGAUGUUGACUUACUGAUAACUCUAGAAAAUGAGAGUUAUUAUAUCCUUUCUAGACUUAAAUCAAUAUCACUUAGAGAUCAAAUAAGGUGUUUUUAUUAUAUUUUUGUUAUAUUUUGCAUAAACAUUUAUUUUAGUUGAGUCUUAAUAAUUUUUGCUUAAAUCAAAGUAAUUUGUGCUAAAAACAAGUGCAUAAUUGUAUGUUUUCAGAAAGUCUUGAUUCAUGAGGGGAUGUUGAGACAUUAGAUGAGCAAGAAGAGGAAAGAAGACGACCGCAAAAGAAGUAAAGCACAAUCGGGAAUAGUGUAGUGUGGUUGCGAAAGUUAGAGCAACCAGUGCUGUAGCAAUCUGGGAACAAUGCAGGAGAAAACUUAGGCGCGGGUCAGCCACAAAAUCGCAAUCUGCAUGUUUCCUAAUUUAACGCAUGCACGCCCAUGAACUUUUAUUUUUACCCUAGUUUGCAGUAUAAAAGGGAGGCGUGCACCACAUAGAAAGGCGGCAAGGGAAUUAUCAUUAGAAUAAUUACAACGGAAAGAAAAAGAAGAUCAAAAUUACAGAGUGCUGUUUCGGCAACAUUGAAGAAUCGUGCAAAAUUAUUUGGAUUUGUCUUUCAUCGUGCUCAACUUAUAAUUAUCUUCUUCUUUUAAUUGUUUUGAUGUAUCCCAUGAUCAAUAUAUUUAUGUUUAUUUUUCUCAUUCAGAAUAUGAACUAGACUUGUUUGUAGUUGAGUGACAAGUAAUCCAAUGGGGUCUUGACUGUUCUUAUGUGUUGUUAUGUCAUUGCUGUAGCAUUUUACUCUAUUAGCUUUUAUGAAUAUAACUAUUAUUUCGGUUGACCACCCAUUUGAUAGUUUCAGUUAAGAUAGAGCAGCAAAAGGGUAUGUCUUAGCGGAUAUUAUUAGAGUAUUACUUGAUCUUAAGUUAAGUUUCCUGGAUUAAGUUAUCUUGAAUCCCAUAAGGGCAAUACUUGAAGUUAAGAUUUGUGACACACUAGACAUAGGUGUUCACCUUGCAGGGUGGAGAGAUUAAAGAUCAUAACGCCAUACCAUAAGUAGAUUAGCAACUGGUCCUUGUUAAUAGAUUUAAGGGUAUGAGACUUCCAAUAUGCGAUAGCUGAGGAUGCAGAUAAAUUCUGCCCAGUGCUGCAACACUUGCCGUAACAAUUGGUGCUAACUUGAUGAAAAACAGUCAGCCUAUAAGGAGAGUUUGAUCAUUCAGCUACCAUAAUUUCAAUUGAAUCUUAGACACAUUUUAUCUAAUAUUUUAUUACGGUAUUGUUUUAUUUAAUUCUCUCAUAAUCAUCAAUCAUGAUAAAACUUAAUUUACGAUUGUUAACUUCGGCCUUAAGUUGGUUUGCACUAUUGUGAUUACUAUAGCAUUUCGAGUAGCAUCAAUCCUUGUGGAGACGAUCUUGAAUAUUCAUCACUUUAUUACUUAUUGUGUAUACUUGCACAUUGGCAUUGGUAGCAAUUGCUUAUAAAAUUAACCAACACUUACUAACCUAAAAUUUUAAUUAUUUACCUUUUUUGAAGUAAGAAUGGUCAUUAGAAGGCAAAUUGGUAGUUGGACCGAUGAGAUUGAUGCUUAAAGAGACUGAUUUACAACUAAAUAAUUUGAAAUUUUCAUGCUAAGUGUCGUUAUAAUCAUUUUCCCCAUUGUUAUCAUUCUAGUUUGCUACCCUAUAUAAGUUGUUUCAUUUAUUAUAAUUUUUAUUUUUAUUGUGAAUUAAGAGUUUGAUAUUUUAAACUACAAGAUGAUAGUUCAUCAUGAACUUUGGAACCAAGCAACUAUAAACCAUCUCUAAGAUUCUACUAGAAACUACUGCAGUACACUUGAUAAACCAAUUGACAAAAAAAUUGAAACUCACCAAUAAAAAAUUUAAUAGAAGUAGGAAGUGAUCGGCAUUAAAGGCCUGGAUUAACAAUAAUUGGUUUAGUUACAAAAUACAUGCCCUUUCCCCAAUUUCAAUUUCAUUGGCUUUGUCAAACUUCUCGUGUUCAUAUAAAAUUCUUAGAGAUGUUUGAAAUGUCAAAAGACAACAAAAGCUGUACUUGUCUAUAUGAAACUUGAAAUGUACCUAUAAAGUCUUUUUCCUUUAUGUUAAAAGGAUGCUAAUUUUUUUGAAAUAUUCAAGGGAUCCAUAAAAAUUUUAACCCUUUACUUUUGCAUACAAUUUGGGAGAUUUAUAUAGAUUUUAAAGUUAUGAAAACUUUGGUUUGAAUUUUGAAUGAAUAAUGUUAUUAUAGACAUUAAGCAUGUCGCAGGAUACUGAAAUAUUACUACGCGUUAUUACUAGUCGAUGGGAAAAUGCUAAUGGCUGGUAUGGUGAUUAAUAGAGUUGGUCAAACAUGUCAUCAAUUCAUGUUCGUGUUGUAUUAGCUUUGUGUCGUGUCAAAUUUAGGUCACCCCAAACAUGACCCAUUUAAUAAUCAUGUUAAAAUAUUGAGAUCCUAACCCAACACGAAAAUUAAAUGUGUUACCUAAUAACGCGCUUAAUAUCUAUAUAUUUAACAAAAUGUAAUGUGUGUGUAUAUAUAUAUAUAUAAUUUAUUGAUAUUAUAAAAUAUACAUGUCUAUCAAAAUAUUGCACAUUUACACUAUUGAAGUUUUAGUUAUAUAUAAUAUUAUAUAUCGAUAUUAUAAAAUAUAUAUGACUACUAAUAUUUUAUAUAUUUAUACCAUUGUAGCUCUAAAUCUAAAUAAAAUUUUGUAAAUGAAUGUGCAUAUGUUCAUCCUUACAAAAAAAGAAGAAUGAGAAAAUCAUGUCUAUUAUUGAAGUUUUGAUGACACAAACCUACAAAUUAAUUUGGAAUAAAAAAUAUAGUUGCAUCAUUAAUCAAUAGAUGGGCCAAGGACUUUAACUUUAACUUGACACGAAAAAAGAAUCGUGUCGACCCGGACUUGACUCAUUUAAUAAUCGUGUCAAAUUUAACGAUUUAUACAUAUUUAGUUGUGUCAUGUUCGUGUCGAAUAAUCAAAUCUUUUGAAAAUUUGUCACCUUUAAUGAUUACAACAACCUCUUAAGCUAGGACAAGCAGAGAAUUCAAAAGCAGGACAAAUAAUUCAGUGUUUUCUUAAAUUCAAAUUAUUGUGCAUAUAAUUUCUCAACUUUUCAAUUAUAUAAAAAUAAGUGCAACUUAUUUGGGAAACUUAUUCACUACAAGAAAAACGAGCUUUAGUGAUACUUGUCCUCGGACACUUAGAUAAAAUGUAUUAGCAUAUACAUACAGUUGGGCCAUUGCCUAUGUCUAAUUGACAAAUAUCACAAAUUGCUAAUGCGAUAGUGUCUGUAAAUUAAACAUUAGUGAUCCAUGACAUUAAGGUAUCACUAUUAAAAGAUUAAUAACUUUUGUUCUAUUUUAGUCUGAAUUCUAAUUCAACGCCUUUAUGACUUAACUGCUUAAGUUCAAAAAAAAAGAAACUAUUGAGAUACAAUUUUUAUUUUAAUAAUUAUGAAAAAUAAAAAAAAUCAAAACAAAUGCAUAGCCAAAUCAGCUUUAACCUAAAUUUCUUAAACUUCUAUUUCUAAACUCACCACCAUCCUUUCUUAACUCUCUAAAAGUUAAGAUUAAUACAAAACCUAGCUGCGUAAAUCUUGUAGGAUAAAAAUCAUAGUUGAACUCUCUGACUCAAUUUUCUAUAGCCACCAACUGAUUAAAUUUUAGGAGGCCACAUAAUCUUUGUGAAAGUUGUUGCAGACUAGCCAGCUAUUGAACCAGCUAUGAAGCUAUCAGAGUUGCCACAAGUUGCCACUAAAAUAUGAGCAGGCUAUUAACCUCGAUCCACCAUAGUUGUUGUUGUGCAAAUUUUUAGUAUACUCGCAAGUGCACGAAUCUUUAGAAAUAGAAUAGUGGUAAUAAGGUCGAACUCACAAGGAUUGCUAAAAGUUGGAAAGUCUAAUUUAAGUGUAAAAUUAAUGUUAAUCCUAACCUAGUUAAGCAAAUUAAGUUUUAAGAGAAUUUAAACUAAUUAGACUAAGAAAACAUCAAAUCAAAAGAGAUUUCAAUAAGGCAAAGGUUUACCAAGGUUUCAAAAUCCAUCAAUAUUCAAUUAGUAAUUAUUUAAUUAUCAAUUAAUCUCCAAUUUUUGAGUGACAACUCGAAAUCAGUUUAUGUCAUCUCAUAGAUAUAACAAUUAACCUAAAGUAAUUAAAUCUAAUGUAGAUUCUUUUUCACUUCAGGGGAGCAUUUAUAAGCAUUAGAUGUAUCGUAUUGAAAAAUAAAGAAUCAAAGUUUCCUAAACAUUUUACGUAUCCAACUUAUUGAAAAAUAAAUAAUCAAUGAGAUCACAUUAAUCAUUAUUUCAUCAAGUUUAAAUUAGUCAAAUAAUCUCUUAACUAUCUAGAAUAAAUGAUAAGAUGAAAAAGAUAAUUAUUCAAUUAAUCAUGUAAAAGAAGAACCAUAAUCAUCAAACAAGAUAUGUAAAGGAUUGAUUAAAUAAAAAGAUAAAUAUUUAAUUAAAUAGAGUUUCGUCAUUAACCUCAAUAUAAGAAAAUUAACUAGACGUAUAUUGAGUGCUGGAGAAUGUAUAUUUAUAUAGGGUAAAAUUGUUAUUUUAUUCUCCAAAGUCUCACUAACAUUUUCACUUUUACGUUUUUAAAUCUUUUAAGCUUUUAUUAGGUGUGUUUUAUUAUAAUUUAAGUAUUUUAUGGAUAUUUUGUCCAUUUCACGACUAACAAGAAGUUAGACAGUGAAAUGAAUGGUAUUUUUGAACUUAGGAUGGUCGAAAACCUUAGAAGGAACAUAAAAAAAUAUUGGGUAUUGUUCACAUAUACGAUAUUGUUUAAGUAUACGGCACUGUUCACAUAUAUGGUCCAAUGACGUGGCAUUGAAUGAUGACAUGUCAACAUCUUAUUGGACCAAUGAUGUGGCAUUGACUAAUGAUGUGGCAAGAUACUAUUGAACCAAAAUACUGAUUUGGCGUUGACCGAUGACGUGACAACAUCUUAUUAGACUGAAAUGCUUAUGUGGUGUUGACUCAUGAUGUGUUCCAACCAAUCAAAGCUUGCCACGUGGUACUAUCUUGAGCGUGCGAAUUAUUUUCAUUUAAUGCCCAUGAUUUAUCAAUUGUAUCUAUAAAUAGAGGGCUCUCCCCUAAUUUGACACCCUUGAAUUUCUUUUUGAACUCUAUUUUCUAUAAUUCUCCCUCCAUAUUGUAUUUUCUACGUAUUUUAAUAAAAUUACCAUUUUACCCUUAGUUCAAUUAUGAGUGGCUAAUUUAGUUUCAACCUUAGGUUGAAGGUGAAACCUCAACAUGAUUCAAGGGCUUAAUUAGGUAAGUUUAUUUUAUUUUCUUCUUUGAUUUAUAUGGCUUUUUUGACUCAUUGUCGAUAGACAGUGUAUCAUGUCUAGAUUUUACAUGGUAUACCGGCUCCUUAUUGAAGGAUCGUUACUAUCUGGGACAAUGAAAGCUUAACACCAUAUUAAUUAGAGAGAAAAUUUCCCUCUAGUAUUUUGUAAGUCGUCUUGACUCAGUGUCGACAAGGAGUGUAUCUAAGUAUUUUAGUGGAUGGUCUUCCCACAUUGUCGACAGAAGGAUUGUUAUCGUCUGGCAUAACGUGUUUUUUACACCACAUUUAGUGGAAGAUCAUUACCUCUGGCACACUGAGCGCUUGACCAUUGAGAAAGGUAAAUUCUCAAGUCAGCCAGUGCCCAAUCUUAAAGGAAAACAUAAAGUGAAUACAAGUUUAUCCUAGCAUCAUGAAGAAGUCAAAGUCGUUAUGACCUUGCGAAAAAGGCAAAGAAGUGGACAAAAAACAUACCGGUGACAAAGACAACUCUAGAAUCUGAAGACCUAUCAACAAAAGAGAAAGAAGAUAACAGCCCACGAGAAUAUAUUAUUGAGUGUUAGAAAAUGUAUAUUUAUAAAGGAGAAAAUCGUCAUUUUACACUUCAAGUUUUACUAACACCCUUACUUUUAUGUAUUUAAGCUUCUUGUCAUUUAAUUAUAUGUGUUGUAUUAUAAUUAAGUAUUUUAUGUAUUUUAGGGGCAUCAUAGUCAUUUCACAAUGAACGAGAGAUUAGACGGCAAAACAGACAUCACUUUUGAACUCAGGACGGUCGAAAACCUUAGGAGGAGCAGAAAAGGAAAAAUGGCAUUGUUCACAUGUACGGUACUAUUCACAUGUACGGUACUGUCUACGUUACUGUUCACGACACUGUUCACAUAGACGGAUUGAUGAUGUGGCAUUGACCGAUGAUGUGGCAUUGACUGAUGAGGUGUCACGAUCCUGUUGGACUAAAAUUCUUAUACACUGUUGAUUGAUGACGUGGCAGCAUAUCAGUGGACCAAAAAUCUCGCGUACGGUACAUGCAUUACACAUGAUUAUUUUCAACCAAACCGCGUCACUGUUCAAGCCGGGUCAAACCGUGUUACUGUUCAAACCGCGUGGUCAAGCCGUGUACAGUUGACUGAUGACGUGGCACAAUCUUGAGCGUCCAAACUGUUUUUAAUUCGAUGGCCACGAUUUACUCAAUGUAUCUAUAAAAAUGAGGCCUCCCCCCCUAAUUGGAUAGCUCUGAAUCCAUUUUUGGACUCCAUUUUCUGUAAUUCCCUCUCCAUCUUAUAUUUUCUAUGUAUUUUAAUAAAUUUUCAUUUUGCCCCUAGUUCAAUUAUGAGUAGCUAAUUUUCUUUCAAGCUUGGGUUGAAGGUAAAGUCUCAACAUGUGUCAUGGACUUUAUUUGGUAAAUUUAUUUUCUUUUCCCCUAUAAUUUUUGUGGAUGUUUUGACUUCUCGUCGAUAAAUAAUAAUAAUCUUGUCUAGAUACCACAUUGGUUUCACCGGCUCUCUAGUACAAGGUUAUUAUUAUUUGUCACGAUAAACCAUUAGCACCAUAUUGAUUAGAGUGUGGUUCAUGAGGUGUGGAUUCCCCCUUCUUGAUUUAAUUGGCAUUAAUAAUAAAUAUUUAGCCCAUGGUGCAUGUUGAUACGGAUCCAGAUACCCAAGUACGUCAUUUCAAUAGAUUUCACUUCAAUUUAUUCUCGCAUUUUCAAUUCCAAUUUUAAAAUAAUCUAAGUUACAUUCACCACAAAUCCAACCACCCUCAUACAAAAUUAAUUCUACAUAUAAUUAAAAUCCACCUCCUCGUGGGAUCGACACUCGUCACCAUUAAUCUAUUCUACAAUAGAUUCGUGUAUUUGCGAGUUCAAUAAAACUUGCACAAUAAGUUUUUGGCGCCGUUGCCGGGGAGGUAAGUUAUUUUAAUUCGUAAAAUUAAUUUUUGUGAAUAAUUUUUUUAUUUGUUUUCUUGUAUUUUUUUAUUAUUAAAAAAAAGAAAAAAAAGUGAAUCUGCAUUUAGAGGUAAUAAUUUCUUUCUUUCUCUAUUCUUUACAAUUCUGUAAUUUAAUUUUUAAGUUAUUUUUCUUUGUAAUUUUUGUUUAUCUUAUUAAUUUAAUUUUUAGUCAAUUUAUUGCAUGAAUUUUUUAUUGUGUUUUUAUAGAAAGGUUUUAACAGUGUAAUAAGGUUAGUACCGUAAUUUCUCAUUCUUCUUUAUUUUUAUUUGUUUUGUUCCCAUUUAUCUUUUGUUCUUUGCAUGCAUGGUCGUAGGUCAUUAUUACCUAAUCUUGAACCUAUAGACCUUGAACUUGAGAAAACACUUCGCACACACAAACAAGUUAAAAAUAAAAUGGAUUUGCAACCACAAGAGAGGCCAUUUAAGGACUACUUUAGUCCUUUAGCUAAUUUGAGCACAUCAUGCAUAAGAUACCCAAAUGUAAAAGUUUUGAAUAAAUAUUUCCCAGUGCAUAAAACUAAUGCUAUUCAUAGGGAAAUUUCAGAGUUUACCUAGAGAGAAGACGAGCAGUUUUUCAAAACAUGGGAGCGAUUCAAUGGGCUACUCUUGAAGUGUCCACAUUAUGGGUACGAGAAAUGGCACCAAUGCCAAUAAUUUUUGGAGGGAUUAUUGCCGAAUGUGCAAGAAUGGCUAAUGGCAACAAGUGGAGAAGAGCUAAUGUCAAAAAGUGCAUUAGAGAUUUAGGAAUUUUUCCAGCGACAAGCAGAUAAUUUCCAACAACGGAGUCGGUCGCUCAGGAAUACUAAAAGAAUUAAAGGAGUGAAUGAGGUUCACAUUGGCGAGUCAACGUUGAGAAUCAAAGAAGUUAAGGAGAUGGUUAAAGGUCUCGCUUGACAAAUAGCAUCGUUAUCAACUGCUAAAUCAACAGAGCCACAUGACCAUGACUCAUACUCAAAUCAAGCCAAUGCCAUAGGUGUAAUGAGAAAACUAUCAAAUUACAACCCAUACUCCAACACAUAUAACCUUGGAUGGAGAGACCACCGCAAUUUUUCAUGGUCUCAAGAAUUCCAACAGAAUGGACCAGUAGCUCUAGCUCCACCAAUGCAACCAAUUCCUCAAGCCUCUCAGCCCCCAUUUAGACCAUUCAAUUAGAACCAGAACUACUCUCAACCCAGACCAUGGGAGGAUGCAUUCUAGAAUUUCAAGAAUGUUACUCACUCUGCGAUUGAGUAACAGAACCGCACCAUUGAUGGACUACGAAAUGAGUUGAGAGCCGGCUUCAACUCACAGGCCUAAUCAGUUUCAAGCCUCGAAAAGAUGGCGGGACAACUUGCUUCUUUAGUUCAGACCUUGGCAAUGACUGUUGAGAAAGGUAAGUUUCCAAGUCAACCAGUGCCUAAUCCUAAGGGAGUGCAUGAAGCAAGUACCAGUUCACCACAGCAGCAUGGAGAGGUCAAAGCAGUCAUGACCUUGCGAAAAGGAAAAGAAGUCGAUAAUAAAAUGGAGAUACCGGUGACAAAAGAAAAUCAAAUUGUACCUGUGAAUGUUGAGGACUCACCAUCGGAGGAGAAAGAAGAAACUAACCCACGAGAAUACGUUCCCAAAGCUCCAUUUCCUCAGAGGUUAGCUAAAGGAAAGAAGGAAAAAUCCACAGGUGAGAUUCUUGAAAUCUUCAAAUAGGUAAGUGUUAACAUUCCUUUGUUUGAUGCUAUUAAAUAAGUUCCAUCUUAUACCAAGUUUUUUAAAGAUCUUUGCACUAAAAAGAGAAACAUUUACGUUCAAAAGAAGGCAUUUUUAACAGAAAAUGUUAGUUCUAUACUCCAACAUAAAAUUCCUCUAAAAUGCAAAGACACAGGCUUCCUCACUAUCUCAUGUAGUAUAGGGAACUACACAAUUGAGAAUGUUUUGUUGGAUUUAGGAGCUAUUAUAAAUCUGUUGCCUUACUCAGUAUUUUUGAAACUUGGUCUUAGAGAAUUACACCCAACUCUAGUAGUGUUACAGCUUACAGAUUGGUCCACGAAAAUACCUCGUAGUAUUGUGGAGGAUGUGCUUAUCCAGGUAGACAAGUUUUAUUUUCCUGUUGAUUUCAUUGUAAUUGACAUUCAACCAAUACAGGAUUCAAGGAAGCACAUCCCCAUUAUUUUAGGCCGACCUUUCUUGGCAACUGCGAAUGCUCACAUUCAAUGCAGGACUGGAAAUAUGUAGUUGUCCUUCGGCAACAUGACUAUGGAGCUGAACAUCUUCAACAUUACCAAACAACCUCCCAAAAAGUCAGGAGUCACAGUAGUUACCAAUGCUAAUAAUGAAUUUAUACCCACUAGAGUAACUACAUGAUGACGUGUAUGCAUUGAUUAUAGAAAGUUAAAUUCUGUCACAUGUAAAGACCAUUUUCCUUUACCAUUUAUUGAUCAAAUGCUUGAUAGAUUAGCAAGCCAUGAAUUUUAUUGCUUUUUAAAUGGUUACUCAGGAUAUAAUCAGAUUCUCAUAGCACCAAAAGAUCAAGAGAAAACCACUUUCACUUGCCAUGAAAGUAAAAUUCAGAAUAUCCUUUCAUUCUGCCAUGAACAAGCUUGUGGAGGCUAUUUCAGUGCUAAGAAAACAGCUACUAAGGUUUUACAAUGUGGUUUCUAUUGGCCAACUAUAUUUCGAGACGCUUACACUUUCUGUUCUUCAUGUGAUAGGUGUUAACGAAUGGGGAGCAUUACACGAAGGAACAUGAUGCCACUAAAUCCAAUUUCAGUGGUUGAGAUUUUUUACGUAUGGGUUAUCGACUUCAUGGGACCCUUUCCCCCUUCUUUUGGCCAUCAAUACAUAUUGGUUGCUAUUGAUUAUGUAUCGAAAUGGGUAGAAGCAAUUCCAUGUAGAACCAAUGAUCACAAGGUGGUGAUAGGAUUUUUGAAAAGCAACAUUGUUUCACGCUUUAGAUUUCCUCGAGCGAUAAUCAGUAAUGGUGGUGCCCACUUUUGUAACAAAGCAUUCAAAGCUCUUUUGACAAAGUAUUCAACCACUCACAAAGUGGCGACCCUUUAUCAUUCGCAAACCAGUGGCCAAGUUGAGAUCUCCAAUCAAGAAAUAAAGCACAUAUUAGAAAAAACAUUAAGGCCAGACAAAAAAGAUUGGUCAUUAAGACUUGAUGAUGCAUUAUGGGCAGAUAGAACGGCUUUCAAGACCUCGAUUGGGAUGUCGACCUACAGGCUAGUGUAUGGAAAAGCUUGCCACCUACCUGUGGAACUCGAGCAUCGUGCAUACUAGGCCAUCAAGAAAUUCAACUUUGACAUGCAGUAAGCUAGCUCAGAAAGAAGAUUACAACUGGCAGAACUUGAAGAAAUUCGCAAUGAUGCAUAUGAAAAUGCCAAGAUUUACAAGCAGCGAAUGAAAGUCUUUCAUGACAAGCAAAUUAUGAGAAAAUCUUUUACUCCAGGUCAGAAUAUGCUUUUAUUCAAUUCUCGCUUGCACCUAUUCCCAGGUAAGUUACGCUCUCGAUGGUCUGGUCACUUUAUUGUUCACACUGUUUUUCCACAUGGGGCAGUUGAAAUUAAGGACCCAAAGAACGGUGUCACGUUUAAACUUAAUGGUCAAAGAUUAAAGCCAUAUCUAGAGUACCAACCACAUGGAGAGGACACCGAAAUAAAUUUGAGUGACCCACCAGAUUUAAAUUGAGUUUUUUUUUCUUUCUUUUCGGUGAUUUGAUUUGAUUUUUUUUCUUUCUUUUUAUUAUUCUUUUGCUAAUUGAAAUUAUUUUUGCAUAAGUGUGUUUGUUUAACCAUUAAGUUUUCUCUUAUCAUUGUUAAUCAUGAGUACCAUAGUUAAACAGUUCCUCCUGAACAUUCUUCAACCACUUCAACGUGCAAAAUCUCAUCUCAUCAGACAGAUUCGAUUUUGUAAAACACAUCGUAUUUGGGCUUUGCAACCACCAGAGUUAGUAUCCUAUGUUGAGGAUUUAAAAAGCCAACUUAGAGACAUUGAGAGAAGUGUCUAUAACAUCCAGUUGGAGCUUGAGGUAAAUUCAAUAAGAGGACGAUUUUAAUUUUCUUUGUGUGUUUUAAUUUGUUUUUCUGUUUGUGUGCUUUAGUUUGUUACCCCGGUGAAGUGGCGGAUAACGGUACUCCGUGACAAUCAAGUCGGUUACUUCAGUUUCCCAUAAUAAACUGAUAUUCUGAGGCGAAAGUAUGGACAAAAAUGAGAUUCUAGCGAAGCUUCGCAAGCGAUUCCCUUCACUUCCUCAGAAUGCCCUCCUUACGAUCUAUAAAGCCCGAUCUGAACGCAUGCGAUUGCUCAUGAGGAAUAACAUACCUGCAGACAUCCGUUGGUUAAUCGAGGCUAAAGUACGAUCGGCAGGUGAGUUACCUCCAAAAUUUAUUGCAUACAUGCCUGGUUGUGGUAAAGGAAAUUAAGCAAGAAAACGACGAGCUCGAAGAAUUUCUGUUGCUUGUCACAAGUGUGCCAGAAUGAGUUGCGAUAGAAACCCAUGUUCUUUAGGAAUGGUGUCUGAUAACAGAGAAGAUAAGAUUCAAUUCAUUAGGGAUGGCUUGAAUAAGGAGUCAUUGGAUGAUAUCAUUUUGUCUCUUGAAACGCAUCCCAGUGGAUAUAUGCAAGGAGCGAUUCUCCAGUUAUGGCCAUUAUUCCAAAAAGAGCAUGCACGAUAUAGUCUCGGGAAUCUGACUAUAAACCUGCUGUACCGUACAUCCGCCUUGGCCGUACAGCAGAAUUCAAGCCGUUUCUGGACGUAAAACCAGAGGAAGAUGUGAGCCACAGUCGCAACUACCUGUAAAUAUCCUUUUACUUCACUAUUAUUUUAUUUCACUGUUGUUUUAUCAUUUGCAUUAUUGUCUUUAAUAAUUUUAUUUUAUCAUUGUUUCUUUUUCUUUUUACUGUUUCCUUUUUGACUCGCGAGCUAUGUGCUUUACGCGUUAUUUGACACUGACAUGCACUAUGACUUUUUGUCAAGCACUUACAAAUUGUUUUUGAGAAAUAUCUCAAUGGUAGCUACUCCUAAUAGACAAUUCAAGAACAUUUGUGUGCUUUCUGGAUUUAACUAUGGCAAACAUAAAGAGUUCGUUGAGGCAGCCAUAGAUCUUGGUCAAAGCAUAGCAGAGAGAAAACUACACUUGGUGUAUGGAGGAUGUAAUCGAGGGUUAUCAAAAUUGGUCUCAGAAGCUGCUUUUGUCAAAGAAAGCUAAGUGUUAGGCAUCAUCCCAAGAGCCCUAAAACCUUUGGGCAGUUUGUCUGACCCACCAACUGGAGAAGAGUUAGUCGUCUCAGGUAUGUAAGAAAGAAUAACUGAAAUGCUUAAUCAUACUGAUGCUUUUAUUUUCCUUCUAGGAGAUCUUGCAACACUAGAGGCACUUAUCACACUAGCAUCUUGGGCCCAUCUGUACAUUCACCAGAAACUCAUCGGUUUGUUAAAUGUCAAUAACUUUUAUGAUGGUUUUAUCGCAUUUCUUAAUCAUGCAAUAAAAAACUAUUUCAUUCCUUCCAAUGUGAAAAAGCUUUUUAUUUGUGCUCACACUGCUAAUGAGUUACUUGAUAUGUUACAAGCUUAUAAACCAGAGCCAGACCCAUGGACCUCUGUGUUGGAGCAUCUAAAUAAUGACGGUAAUAGUAGCCGCAGUAAGAAGUACAAAUUAAAUUUAACUCUCCGCCUAUAAAUAUUUUCUUCUGUGUUACACCACCUAGGUGAUGUCUUCUAAACUCUACUUAUUUCCUUUAAAACAUUGAGGACAAUGUUUCGUUCUGGUUGGGAGGAGGGAAUAGUGGACAAUUAUGGAAUCUUGGUUAAGUUUUUACUAAUUUUUUGUUGUAGAAGCUAACUGUUGCUAACUUUUUGUGUUGAAGAUGGUUGAAUAUGGAGUGUAAUUACUCUAGAAACGCAUUUUCUUAGUUAAAAAAAACAAAAAAAAUUCUAGAUAUUUUCUUUUUCUUUAUUAAUUUUUUUACAAUCAUUUUUCUUCUUCUUUAUAAUUUCUCCUUUAUAAAUAUACACUUUCCAAUUUUUUUGAGUCGAAGAUAGCUGAAUAUGGAGUGUAGUGCCUCUAGAAACCCAUCUUCUUAGUUAAAAAAAAACAUUUCUUUUUCUAUCAUUUUAAGUGUAACUUUUCUAAUUAGUUUUUCUGCAUCAUUUUCACAUUUCUGCAUGCAUAUUUUCCUUUCAUGUUUAGAAUAGGUUGGGGGGUAGAAUGUUGUUUAAAAAAAAUGUGUGAUUUGUUUUAACAUUGGAUGACAUGAUUAAUUUCAAAUUUUAGUAUUUGUAUGAUCUUUGGUCUUAAGUGAUGAUACUCUAUGUUUGCUACUUCACAUGUUGAUGUCGGAGAUAAAUAUGAGUUGCUUGAAGGAAUGAAUAUGUCAUAAUAAGUACCAAGUGAGUUUUUGAGCCUAUCAUUUUUCUUAGAGAAUAACCCUUUUGUCCAUUCUUUAUAUAGCUUAGCAGUUUAUUAUUUUAUACAUGAUCUCUAGAUUUCUUUUGAGUUAGCACUUAAAAGAAAAGUUAUUGUAAAAUUAAAAAAAAAAGAAAAAAAUGUGUGUUGCUACAUCUAGAGACCCAUUUAACUAGUAGAUAUGGAAGAUUCUUUAGAGUUCUAAAAAAUGAUGGAAAGGUCAUCUUUGAUUCGUUUGAGCCUUUCUAGCCAUCCCUUUUGUGAAAUAUCCAUAGUUAACCCUUUUGAGCCUUAAAACAAAAAAAAACAUUUUUUUUGUCAACUUAUCAUCUUGACCCACUCCGAUUUGGAGUAUUACCCAAUGUCUUAUAAGUUUCAUCACCUAUUUAUGUUUAAGAAAAAUGUAAAUAAUUAUUUUGUUCAGUGACGUUGUGCCAAACAAAAGCAAAAAAAAAAUUGUUGUUUUAAAAAAAGAAAAAAAAGAAAAAAAAUAACAAUAAUAGGUGAAAUUCACCCUGCAACUUCCAACAAAAUACAAAACAAAAUUAAAAUCUCUGCAUUUUUCUCAAACAUACACUUUAUUUUCCUUAUUUCCCCUCCUUUGUUAGCCAUGUCCCUAGCCUACGUUACGUCCUAAUAAAAGUCCUUCUUGAUUUUAGGGAACGAUAGUCUGAAGUAGAAGCUAGUUAUAUGGACUAAAAAGAUGUAGUGGUGCAUAAACAAAAAAAAUAAAAAUAAAUAAAUUGGGUUGACUAGCAUUUUUAUUUGACUUGAGAUCGUAUUAUUUCUAAGCUGAGGCAUAUUUUUUUCAGCUUGGUGAGAGCAUGUGAUAUCACGUCUUUAUUAUUUUCUCUCAAUUACCAUUCAUUGGAAUGACUAUUUUUAUUGGGUUUAGUUUCUUUGUGAGAGUGUCACUACUUCCAGUGAGAUUUUGGGGUUUGACAUGUCAUUCUUGAAAGUAGCCAUGCCAAAGUCUACUGGGCUGAUUCAUAUGGAUGGUUGAUGUGGGUGUGAUGUUUCUUUAGACUGGAGAUAAUCCUUAUACUUUUAUUUGAUUACUAUCAUUAGUCUAAUUGAAUAAACAUUAUUGUUAAAAAAAAAUUAUUUUGGAUUUGAAUUUUAUUUUUGCUUUAUUUGCUAGGGACUAGCAAUAAGCUGGUUGGGGGGUGUGUUGAGUGUUAGAAAAUGUAUAUUUAUAAAGGAGAAAAUCGUCAUUUUACACUUCAAAUUUUACUAACACCCUUACUUUUAUGUAUUUAAGCUUCUUGUCAUUUAAUUAUGUGUGUUAUAUUAUAAUUAAGUAUUUUAUGUAUUUUAGGGGCAUCAUAGUCAUUUCACAAUGAACGAGAGAUUAGACGGCAAAACGGACAUCACUUUUGAACUCAGGACGGUCGAAAACCUUAGGAGGAGCAAGAAAGGAAAAAUGGCACUGUUCACAUGUACGGUACUGUUCACAUAUACGGUACUAUCUACGUUACUGUUUACGACACUGUUCACAUAGAUGGAUCGAUGGCGUGGCAUUGACCGAUGAUGUGGCAUUGACUGAUGAGGUGUCACGAUCCUGUUGGACUAAAAUUCUUAUGCACGGUUGAUCGAUGAUGUGGCAGCAUAGCAAUGGACCAAAAAUCUCGCGUACGGUACAUGCAUUACACAUGAUUAUUUUCACUGCUGUACCUUACACAUGAUUAUUUUCAACCAAACCGCGUCACUAUUCAAGCCGGGUCAAACCGUGUUACUGUUCAAACUGCGUGGUCAAACCGCGUACUGUUGACUGAUGACGUGGCACAAUCCUGAGCGUCCAAACUGUUUUUAAUUCGAUGGCCACGAUUUACUCAAUGUAUCUAUAAAAAGGGGGUCUACCCCCCCUAAUUAGAUAGCUCUGAAUCCAUUUUUGGACUCCAUUUUCUGUAAUUCCCUCUCUAUCUUAUAUUUUCUACGUAUUUUAAUAAAUUUCUAUUUUGUCCCUAGUUCAAUUAUAAGUAGCUAAUUUUCUUUCAAGCUUGGGUUAAAGGUGAAGUCUCAACAUGUGUCAUGGGCUUUAUUUGGUAAAUUUAUUUUCUUUUCCCCUCUAAUUUUUGUGGAUGUUUUGACUUCUCGUCGACAAAUAAUAAAAAUCUUCUCUAGAUACCGCCUUGAUUUCACCGGUUCUCUAGUACAAGGUUAUUAUUAUUUGGCACGAUAAGCCCUUAGCACCAUAUUGAUUAGAGUGUGGUUCAUGAGGUGUGGAUUUCCCCCUCAUGAUUUAAUUGGUAUUAAUAAGGAAUAUUUAGCCCAUGGUGCAUGUUGAUACGGAUCCCAUGAUGCAUAUUGAUACGGAUCUAGAUACUCAAGUACGUCAUUUCAAUAUAUUUCACUUCAAUUUAUUCUCACCAUUUCAAUUCCAAUUUCAGAAUAAUCUAAUGCUGCGUUUACUUUUUGGAUUGGAGUGGGAAUCCUUGGAUUAGAAGUGUGGAGUGGGAGUGGAAGUAGGGUGUUUACUUAGACUAAAUGAAAGUAUAGAUUGUCAAUCAGAAUCCUAAUUAUUUGUUUACUUUGUCUUGGAUUGGGAGUAAAUUGUUUUAAAUUAUAAUUUAAUCCUUAUGUACAGAAUUAUAAUUUGUAAUUAAAAAAUUAAUAAAAAAUAUAUUUGGAAAAUAAAAUAAAUAUUUUAUUAUAUUUAUAAAUUAAUUCCCACUCUCACUUCUCCCUUUUUUAAGGUAAGUAAACACUAGAGUGGAAGGAAUCCACACUCCACACUCCACACUCUCACUUCAGAAAGUAAACAUGACACAACUUAAAAGUAAAUUUUAACUCCCAAGUAUAAGAGUGUCUUGUUGUAUUAUAACUCGGUGAGUCCGAGGUCGAUCCACAGAGAAAAGAUUUAAUUAGUUUAUUUUAUUUUAUCUAAAAAUUGAAAUUAAAACUUGAAUAUAAACAACUUAAUUUAAAUGAAACUAUGGAAUUGAACUAGUUAGGGUUAUGGAUCCACUCUUAGAAAUAAAUAAAACUUAAUAAAUUCUUUUUGCCAAUUUGUUUUAGAUUUAUUACUCAAAAGAUUAAUUAUACAAAUUAUUAUUAUUUUCCCUUUAAUUUUAUGAUGGAUUAAGUAUUUAUUGUGCCAAAAUUUAAUUUGUCUACAAUAAGUCAAAAUACCAUUUCACCAUGCCUUAUAUUAAGAUCUUAAGAAUUUAUUGUGCCAAAUUCAUUUAUUUGUCUACAAUAAAUCAAAUUUUCAAAAUAUAAAACAUGUAUAAAAUUAAAUAGAAAAUAAUUUAAUUUAUAAAAUUAAAAAUAGAAUUUGAUUAAAUCAUAUUUAUUUCCUAAGAGUUUCACCUUGCCCUAACUAAUAUUAUUUAGUUAAGCAUAAUUAAAAUAAAAAGUAGUAUAAUUGAAUUACUUAUAAUUAAAAGAAAUAAAAACAACUAAAAUUGGAAAUAAAACUAAUUUUAUUAGUGAAAAUAAUUAUACAAAAUAUUAAAAACACACCUGGAAAUCAAGAUUACAGGGAGAUGGAGAGAAUUUGAGAAGAAGAGAGUUGUAGAGAGAUCCUUAAAACAUAAAAAUGAGGCCCCUAUUUAUAGAAAAAUAAAUUCAUAAUCCAGUGCUUUGCGGUCCAUCAUAGGCUUCAUGCAUGUGCUCCUCACAACCCUUAGAUCAAGAUCCAAUGGCUGGUCAAACUUCAAAAGUCAACAUCACACAUGGCAUCAUUUGACUCGUCCGAUUUACCCAAAGAACGGUUGAGAUUUGGCGGGUUAAUGGGUGGAUCGGGUCGACCCGAAUACAAAGAUUCGGAUCCUCCAACUUGCUUCACCAACCAUUGCCACGUGGCACAAUCAUGGCCAUUGAAUCAUGAACGGUUGAGAUUUAGUCAAGAUUGCCAGUUAUCCCAUGCACUCAUAUCUAUUGUAAGCUCAUUUCAUCAUCCAAUCAGUGCUCGGUCAACAGGAAAAGUCAACUUUUUUUACACAAGCCCAAUUUUAAGCCGAUCUUGACUGAUCUUAAGGUUUUCGGACCUCCGGAAUCCAAAUUUGACCUCCGUUUAUCUGUUUGGAGCCUCGAAGUACGUGAAAUUAAUAAUUUUCCUAAUAAACACAUAAAAAUACACAAAAUUAAAUAUAUUUAAAACAUAAUUCAUAAUUCAUAAUAUAUUACAUAAACACAAAUAUAAAUUAUAACAUAAGCAUAAAAUAACAUAUUAUCGCUUGAUAAUUAAACAAUUUUUAAUACUAA
rnacentral:lncRNA from 1 species